CUGAUGCUGUUUUAUCAGAGAAUGGAGCCUUGGGCGUACACACAUUCAUUCUGACUUCCCCUUCCCCACUGGGAUGAAAGAUUUUUUUCCAGGCUCUCUUUGACUGAACUCCGUGUCAAGCUACUGGCUGAUCUGACUGUAUUGAUAUCAGACUGACAAUUUAGCAUCCACUAAUUUAUAGCUGAUUGCUUUAGUAUUCUUUACAACGCUCUGGUAAAUAAAUUAGUCUGCAAUUUGAUGCAAUUCAAGUUGAAC
rnacentral:lncRNA from 1 species